AUCCCACCGCGAUGGUUCUACGAUAAUAAAAUUGUCGUUAUAUAUUAUGUAUUAUUUUGACGUUAAUACUGCGGUAUGUCAUCAUUUGAACUGUAACACACGUUCCCGGCGCACGCGUUAUACCGCGCACGACAACGUUUAUGAUAUUUAAACCACGAAACGCAGCAACAAAAAUGUUCAAAUACGUCUAUUUGGCUGUAUGCAUAUUGUGUCUGUUCUACGUGCUUGCCGCUGUCUAUGUGCUGUUCAGCGAUUUGAUAUUGGAUCCGUUGUACGGUUAUCUGUUUGGCUGAGGUUAGGGUAUUUCCAUCGCAAAUCCCGACGUAUUCAAACCGUCCGCACAACGUCCUACUAUUAUUAGGACGUAGGUACCGGACUAAUACUAACUGCUCCCGAUGGACGUAACCAUUAUAUUCACGACCAACUCGACCAAAUACUGCGACCGCAGUCCGCAUCGUGUUCCACCGCAGUAUGGUCGACGGUCGUCUGCAAUCACUAACCGUCGUCCGACAUAUCACAAUAUUAAUGUUAUAAACUAUAAUAUUAGAUAUCCGACGGAUCGCGCGCGCCUACACGUGGAAGGACAUAGGGACAAUACUGACAGUUAAACGGUUCGUGUAUAGCCUACUAAUAAAUCGAUUAAGACUGUUAAGGACUUCUGCAUAGCCAACAUAGAAAAUAGUUUUGCACAUUGAAACUGGAUUUGGUAUGAUUCAUAAAGAAAAUUGGCUGGUUAAAGAAAAUGGUAGCAAACAAUUAUGGAAUUACACGUACCAGGAUAUGUCUAUUGUUAAUUUUAAUGCAAUCUAUAUUACUUUUAUUUUAAUAUUAUUAUUAAAUUAAUACAUACAUAUUGCUUUUAGCUUUUUGUUAAUGUAAUUAAUGUAAAUAAUAUUGUAAGUUUUUUUUAAGUAAACUUUAUUUUAUAAUUUUAUAUUAAUUCUUGUGAUAUAUAUUUUGUAAGUUGUGAAUAUACCAAGAGUUAUAGUUUUCUAUAAUGUACUGUUAUAAAAAAAUAUUUAUCAAAUACUUGAAAAAAUGUUAAUAUUACUUAUGCCAGAAAUCAGAGUAGGUAUAGUAAAAAAAAUAAUACUAUAAUGUGAACAUUUCUUACUUAUUACUAUAUCUAAGGCUAGGAAAUUAUAGCAUUUGUAUUUUUAAUCAUAAUACUCAAGGAUAUAGCUUAUAAAAAACUAAAUUGUAGUGUUAUUGGUAACUAUUUAACACCUUUACUGUAAGUUUUCAGUAUAUCAUUUUCCUAACCUUAAAUAUAUAUCUAUUAAAAGGUAACAAAAAUAAAUCAAAUUCAAAAAUGUUAUUAUUUUUUAUUAAAUAAAAAAAAAAUUAUAUUUUUAA